UACGUAGGGUGCGAGCGUUAAUCGGAAUUACUGGGCGUAAAGCGUGCGCAGGCUGUUUUGUAAGUCAGAUGUGAAAUCCCUGGGCUCAACCUAGGAACUGCGUUUGAAACUACAAGGCUAGAGUGUAGCAGAGGGGGGUAGAAUUCCACGUGUAGCAGUGAAAUGCGUAGAGAUGUGGAGGAACACCGAUGGCGAAGGCAGCCCCCUGGGUCAAGAUUGACGCUCAUGCACGAAAGCGUGGGGAGCAAACAGG
rnacentral:rRNA from 1 species